GUCUAUAGCCAUGCUACCUUGACUGAACAAGCCUGAUCUUGUCUGAUCUCAGAAGCUAAGCAGGGUCGGGCCUGGUUAGUACUUGGAUGGGAGACCACCUAGGAAGACCAGGUGCUGCAGGCG
rfam:Pteropus alecto contig164976, whole genome shotgun sequence.